rnacentral:rRNA from 1 species
UUAAGAGUGUAUGGUGGAUGCCUUGGAAAUAGGAGACGAUGAAAGACGUGAUUACCUGCGAUAAGCUUUGGGGAACUGGAAAUAAGUUUUGAUCCAAAGAUUUCUGAAUGGGGCAACCUAAUAAGAGUUAAUCUUAUUAUUAUUUAAUGAAUCCAUAGUUAAAUAAAGUAAUACCUAGGGAAUUGAAACAUCUUAGUACCUAGAGGAAAAGAAAGCGAAUGCGAUUCUGUGAGUAGCGGCGAGCGAAAGCGGAUCAGCCCAAACCAGAUUUAUCUGGGGUUGUAGGAUUGUUCUUAGAAGUUACAAAAUGUUUACAUAGUAGAAGUUGUUGGGAAGCAACAUCAUAGAGGGUGAUAAUCCCGUAUACGAAAUGUAAAUAUCUUCGCAUUGAACAACACCUGAGUACGGCGAGACACGAGAAAUCUUGUCGGAAUCUGCGCAGACCACUGCGUAAGGCUAAAUACUACCUAUUUACCGAUAGUGAACCAGUACCGCGAGGGAAAGGUGAAAAGUACCCUGAAAAGGGAGUGAAAUAGUUCCUGAAACCAUAUACUUAUAAGAAGUUGGAGCCCGUUAAUGGGUGACAGCGUGCCUUUUGUAGAAUGAGCCGGCGAGUUAAUAUGAUGUGCAAGGUUAAAUUGAAUAGAUGAAGCCGUAGUGAAAGCGAGCCUUAAUAGGGCGUUCAGUACAUUGUAUUAGACCCGAAACCAGGUGAUCUAGCCAUGAGCAGGUUGAAGUUAAGGUAACACUUAAUGGAGGACCGAACCAACGUUCGUUGAAAAGACCGUGGAUGACUUGUGGCUAGUGGUGAAAUUCCAAUCGAACCUGGAAAUAGCUGGUUCUCCCCGAUAUAGCUUUAAGGCUAGCGUCGAGGUUAGCACAUUGGAGGUAGAGCACUGAAUGUAUGAUGGCCCCACCUAGGGGUACUGAAUACAAUUAAACUCCGAAUGCCAAUGAUGUAUACUCGGCAGUCAGUACAUGGGUGAUAAGGUCCAUGUACGUGAGGGAAACAGCCCAGAUCAUCAGCUAAGGUCCCAAAAUUUAUACUAAGUGUGUAAGGAUGUGAAAUUACUUAAACAGCUAGGAUGUUGGCUUAGAAGCAGCCAUCAUUUAAAGAAUGCGUAACAGCUCACUAGUCGAGUGAUUUUGCGCCGAAAAUGUACCGGGGCUAAGUAUAAUACCGAAGCUAUGGAUCCGUAAGGGUGGUAGGGGAGCGUUCUAAUCAGGAUGAAGGUAGACCGUGAGGACUAUUGGACAGAUUAGAAGUGAGAAUGCCGGCAUGAGUAACGAUUGAAGGUGAGAAUCCUUCAUGCCGUUUGACCAAGGUUUCCUGGGCAAGGUUCGUCCACCCAGGGUUAGUCAGGGCCUAAGGCGAGGCUGAAAAGCGUAGUCGAUGGACAACAGGUUGAUAUUCCUGUACCACAAUAAUAUAUGAUGGAGUGACGGAGAAGGCUAGGGCAUCCUGGUUAUUGGAUUCCAGGCUAAGUAUAAAGAGGGUAACAUUGGUAAAUCCGUGUUGCAUAACCUUGAAAUACGAUGGGGAGUGAAUACUUCGGUUAGUAGCGAAGUGCUUGACGCCACGCUUCCAAGAAAAGCUUCUAGUGUUAAAUAUUAUUGUGCCUGUACCUAGAACGAACACACGUGGUCAAGGAGAAUAUCCUAAGGCAAGCGAGAUAACUAUAGCUAAGGAACUCUGCAAAUUAACCCCGUAAGUUAGCGAUAAGGGGCGCUCAUAUUUAUAUGAGCCACAGUAAAGAGGAAGGGGCAACUGUUUAACAAAAACACAGCUCUCUGCUAAGUCGUAAGACGAUGUAUAGGGGGUGACGCCUGCCCAGUGCCAGAAGGUUAAGAGGAAUUGUUAGCAUUUGCGAAGCAGUGAAUUGAAGCCCUGGUGAACGGCGGCCGUAACUAUAACGGUCCUAAGGUAGCGAAAUUCCUUGUCAGGUAAAUUCUGACCCGCACGAAUGGUGUAAUGAUCCCUUCGCUGUCUCGGCUAUAGACUCGGUGAAAUUUUAGUACCUGUGAAGAUGCAGGUUACCCGCAACUAGACGGAAAGACCCCGUGGAGCUUUACUAUAACUUGAUAUUGAGUUUUGAUAUAAUAUGUAUAGGAUAGGUGGGAGACUUUGAAGUAGAGACGCUAGUCUCUAUGGAGUCAUCCUUGGAAUACCACCCUUAUUAUAUUAGGACUCUAACCUUGAAUUGUUAUCCAGUUCAGAGACAGUGUCAGGUGGGUAGUUUGACUGGGGCGGUCGCCUCCUAAAGAGUAACGGAGGCGUUCAAAGGUACUCUCAAUACGGUUAGAAGUCGUAUGUAGAGCAUAAAGGUAAAAGAGUGCUUAACUGCGAGACUUACAAGUCGAACAGAAGCGAAAGCUGGACUUAGUGAUCCGGCGGUCCCGUGUGGAAGGGCCGUCGCUCAACGGAUAAAAGUUACCCCGGGGAUAACAGGCUUAUCUCCCCCAAGAGUUCAUAUCGACGGGGAGGUUUGGCACCUCGAUGUCGGCUCAUCACAUCCUGGAGCUGUAGUUGGUUCCAAGGGUUGGGCUGUUCGCCCAUUAAAGUGGUACGUGAGCUGGGUUCAGAACGUCGUGAGACAGUUUGGUCCCUAUCUGUUGUGGGCGUAGGAAAUUUGAGAAGCGUUGUCCCUAGUACGAGAGGACCGGGAUGAACACACCUCUGGUGCUCCAGUUGUCAUGCCAAUGGCAUAGCUGGGUAGCCAUGUGUGGAAGUGAUAAUCGCUGAAAGCAUCUAAGCGAGAAACAUCCUUCAAGAUGAAAUUUCCCAUCUGUUUAUCAGAAUAAGAUCCCUUAUAGACCAUGAGGUUGAUAGGUUAGAAGUGUAAGCAUAGUGAUAUGUUCAGCUUACUAAUACUAAUAGAUCGAAGAUUUUUAGUA